CCUCACCAUGUUCUAGUGUUAAUUAUAUUAUCUCCCUAGCAGACUCCUCCUCUGUGAUUGUUUUCAGGUAAGUCAAAGGUAGGUCACAUCUCCAGCUAGCCCCUACACACAGAGAGAGAGAAAAAAAAAUCUAUCUCUGUGUCUCUGAGCAGUUAUCUCUCCCUGGUUAUCUCAGAUGUGAACAUACUGAUAUAUUACUGAGCAGAAAAGUGUCUGGAAUAAAAUCCCUCUGUCCCCUGGCUGAGAUUAUCAGCAGGAGAUCUGUCACCACUGCCAGUACAGAGACUGCUUGCUCUGUGUGAUGUGGGGCACAUACCUGUGUCAUGCUCCCAAAAAAAAACCUACAGAAAGUGCUCCCAGCCCCCAGGACCAUCUAGACUCAUAUCCCUAAUUUGUUUAUAGGUAAAGGUGAGUGCACAAUGGGUCUGCUUUACAUGAAACAGCUGCACAUUAGGGGAACACAUGCUCAGGGCAUAUUCACACAUUCACUCAGCACACCGCACACUUACCUGUGUUAUUGUAUUCACUGUCACUGUAUGUCUGAUUAAGGGCAAUUACAAUUCAACCCACAUGCAACAUACAGAAUUAACUCAAUUAUCAAAACCACACAACUCCAUUAAAGUGAUUCAUCAACUCUUUGUGAAUCAUGCUCACUUUCCAAUGACUUUCAUUCUCUCUCUGAACAACCAUCUAUCUAUCUAUCUAUCUAUCUAUCUAUCUAUCUACAAAGUGUUGAGUUUUUAUUUUUUUUAUUUUUCAGUGUAACAGGAUAUUUAUAUAUGAUCGAGAUUAUUAUUUUAAAGCAUUAAUCCGGCAGUGCUUUUUUAACUUGAAAUGUUAAAAUUAUAAAUUUAAAAAAAAUUAGAAAGUGUGAAGUCUGGGAGAUUAAUAAACCAGAUAUAAAUAUUUUAAAAGAAUUGGUAGAAUGUAUAAUUUGAUUAUAGUAAGUGGAACUUGGUUAUUUAGAUGUAGCAGUAUAUACAUUUAAAUGUAUUUUUCACCUUAGAACACCAUACACAAAUAAAUUAGAAUAAUAGGAACGCCGUUUAUUUAAAAAAAAAAUAAAAGGGAAGGGGGGGAGAACAAAGUAGAAUUUUAAAGUUUAAAUAUUUUUUUGUUUUUUUUUAAAUCUCCUUACAACUUUUGAACUAUGCUCUAGGUUACUUUAGAAAUAUAGAAAUAUACAAAAUACAUUUCAAUGAAUUGAUGUUGGUUGGUUCGUGGAGUUUUCCAUUUAUUAUAUUUCAUUGUCGUUCUGUAAUAUGUAUACUGUUUGUCCACUUUGAGAACAUUUUGUUAUUUGUAGACCGUUGGAUACAAUUCUAUUCAUGUAAUAUUUAUUCAGCCUCAAAUCUGUGAAUGAUAUUUUGUUACUACUGUCAUUUUGCACAUACUUUUCUUGAAAAAAAUGUAAGAUUUAUAUUUGCCUAAAGUCUACGUUCUGUUGUUUUUUUUUGUUAGUUUAAUUGUGUUUUGUUUUAUUGAUUGAUUUUUGUUUUAUUAUUUUAUUUGUCCCAUCUUAGAGGCUCUUAACUAAGUAAAUCCUUUUAUGAAGAUACCAUUCUUUGAAUUAAAAUAUUCUGUGCUAAAUCAAACAUAUUUAAAAGUGUUUACGCAGCGACUGUUAGACAAUCCUUGUACAAUUCCUAAUGUAGAAUAUGCUUUGUCUAAACAAAACUAAUUAAGCUUAACAGUAAAUAAUGAAAUUGUAAACACGCUAGAGUUGGCAAUUUACAUAGAUAAACUGUACAGGUAAAGCAAUCUCUUUACUCACCAGGAUUUCAUGUAUUGGCGAUAAAUAUACAGUAUUUAGGAAGGGGGGCUUAUUCACUAAAAAGUAAAUUAAAGCGAAUAGACAAGUGGCUUGUAAAAUGUAGGCCAUUUAGUUGUUUGGGACAAAAUAUUCCAACACUAAUAAAUUUGACUUUUCCUAAACUUGUCUAUUUUAUAUUUAAUUUGAAAAGUUUACUCUCCCCUCACAGCCUCAUACUGUUUAGUGAAUAAGGCCCAAUGCCUCUUUAUCCUGUAAGGGAAGCCCACAAUGUGUAGUGGCAUGGGACGAUAAACGGCUGAUUUAUAGCCUUUUUCGUUACAAGAUUUGUGAUUUAUGCGGUUGCUCACAUUUUAAACAGCCAACAAACCUCCCCUCUAGCAAGAUACAGGUUAACCCUUUCAGAUAGUUCAUCAUCAGUUAAGAUCCCCACAUUCACCUUUCAGAUUUUCCUAAAUUGAUCUAAAAAUUAAAUUGACCAACCCUUGACUAGUGACUCAUAUUUGAAUGAAUAAACAGACAAUGGAAUCACAAUUUCUCUGCUUUUUUAAUUUUUACAUUUUUUUUUUAGAAAAACGGUAAUCAUUAUAUAUAUAUAUAUUAUUUACUUAUUUUUUAUGUAUAUAUAUAUUUUUUUUAAAUAUUUUUUUAAAUGUAUUCAUCUAUAUAUGUGUUACAUAUGUGUAUAUGAAAAUAUUUUUUUAUUAUUUUUGAAAUUAUUUCAUGAAGUGAUUAUUAUAUAUAUUGAUGUUUCUGUUUAUUGAUAUUUUGAAAUUGAUAUGUUUAUUUUAAGCAGGAGUUUUGUGGAUGUGGACGCUCUCAGGGUGCUAGAACAGAUAACACAGCUAAUUAAUGGGUCGGGGGAUAGAAUAAGAUCAAUGGGUGCAGCCUAUACCUCUGUCUGCUCUUAAACAAGCCCCUCUCUCCAGAUGAAAGCGUGUGGCGUGGAGGUACAGACUGGGACAGUAAUCUGACAUGGAGGUGACCUGGGAUUAUCUACAGACACCCAGUUUAAAUCAUCUCUGAUUAGCUGCCUGUAUGUAUAUAUAUAUAUAUAUAUAUAUAUAAAACUAUUUUUUUCUCCAUAUCUAAGAAUAUACAUUACAUAAUUACAUAUACCAUAAUUUAUCUAAUUUUGUUAUCUACAUCUAAUACAUCUAAUUUUGUUUUCAAUAUCAAAGAACUUUUCAAUAAUAAAUAAAUAAAUAAACAAGAACCCAGCAAGGAGGCAUGACUCCCAGUGUCCCAGCUGGAUGUACCUUUUAUUAUUAUUAUUAUUAUUAUUUUUUUUUUUUUUUUAAUUAUUAUUAUUAUUGCCAUUUAUAUAGCGCCAACAGAUUCCGUAGCGCUUACCUUUAAUUUAAUUGUCACGUUUACCUAGUUAGAAAUUAGCUGAACCCCAAACUGUGCUUCGUUAACUACAUUAAAAAACAAAACAAAAACUUUAUGCAUAAAAAUUGAACAUUUUUUUUUUCCACCAACAUUAUUUUAUCCUAAAUCGCCAAAGCCAAUUUUCUUGCUACCAUAGUUCGAUGCUUAGUAAAUAAACUGGUAUAUCUAAUGUAUCUUGUGAUAUUGACAGGUCGUACACUGUCCUCUAUUAGCAUUAACCAGAACACAUCUUCCAGAAUGAAUGAGCUGCUAGAGAAAUAAAUGUAUCAGGGGAAUGUAUAUAUCAUGGCAUUGCUACACUUUCCACAUUUCUACUCAAAGGGAAUGUAUAUAUCAUGGCAUUGCUACACUUUCCACAUUUCUACUCAAAUAUAUUUAGAGUCAUUUUUAUUUAGAAGUCUAAUAGAGAUAAGCUACGAAUUAUUUAAUAUAAUAAUUACAUAUUUUCGAUGUUAAAAAGAGGUAUAUUCAUUUUCUCUAAUAUUUGUUGGCUAUUCUGAAGAUAAUUUUUACAUUGUCUUUUAACCAUAUAUGCCUGUGGGAUGCUUACCAAAACUAAAAUUAAAUACUUAACAAUAAUUCAAAUUACAAUGAUUUCUAUUCCAUAGACAAAUCUGUGUCUUUUCAUUCGUUUAACCACAACGUUGAACAUGGGAACUGGAGCAUAAAGACUCAUUGCACAUUUUUUUUUCUUUUAUCAUUAUUAAUAGCAACGUUUCGGGUUAUGAUUCUUCUCCAGCACCUUCCGAAAAUGUUAUCUAAAUUUUGCAAGCAUGGUAAUAUUAUUUGGUAUAAGUAAUAAAUAAAUAACAAAAAAAAUAAAUAAACUACAUAACAUAUAUUACCAUACAAGUGAAUAUUUGCUGAUAUAAAGGUUGUGCUGGAUUCGAAGAUUCUGUAUCUGUGCACAAUAAAUAUAACUGGACACAGUAGCUAAAAUGACUUAAUCUCCCUGUAUAGAUGUUGUUAUGGUAUUUUAUGGAUUCCAGUAUAAUGUACAUGCAAUAUUAAAAUAUACUAUAUAUUAUAGCAGUAUGUUUAUGGACGUAUUAACUGUUGGAUAUAUCACAGACCAUUGUCAGUGUCCAUUUCUUAUAAAACACUGAGUUUCUGAGUUUUGAUGAUAUUAUUGUAUUGAUGAGUAUAGUUUUUUUAGUUACAAUGAUGCUGAAUGAUAGAAAGGGAUAGUGCAAUACACAGGUUGUAUUUAACCCCUAUAUAUAUAACAAAUGUGGUAAAACUGAACUCCCCAUGGCAGUAUUCUCAAGGAUUGCUCUAUGUUUACAAGCAGUGAGGGUUACAGUAAGAAAGGUCACCCUGGUAGCUAUCUGUAGGACAUAGGGUGCAAGACAUUCUUUUCCUCGGUGUGUUUAUGUAACUAAAUGUGCUUUAUACACUGCUGCCAGGCUGAUAAGAGCUGUCUCCAUGCUGUGCCCCCCCUCCUCCCCUCCUCCCCUUUCAGUUACUUUAGCAUCACACAUGCUAUAUACAGUAGGUCAUAGAUAGGAAUAUCAAUCAAUGGAUCCCCUGCCUUCCAAUUCUAACAAAAAAACCUAAUGAGCUCUUUAAAUAGUUCAAAUGCAUUUCCUAACUCAUACACUGAUUCCAAGUUUUUUUCCCUGUGUAUAAAUACAGCCUGAUAAUGCAAUGUAUCACACAGUCCUAGAUCAGUCAAUUUACACACAAUCCUAGUUCAGAGCAGAUCACACACAGUCCUAGAUCAGACCAGCUCACACACAGUCCUAGAUCAGACCAGAUCACACACAAUGCUACAUCAGACCAGCUCACACACAGUCCUAAAUCAGGUCAGCUCACACACAGUCCUAGAUCAGAACAAUUCACACACAGUCCUAAAUCAGGUCAGCUCACACACAGUCCUAGAUCAGAACAACUCACACAGUCACAUAUCAGCUCAGCUCACACACAGUCCUAGAUCAGAACAACUCACACAGUCACAUAUCAGCUCAGCUCACACACAGUCCUAGAUCAGAACAACUCACACAGUCACAUAUCAGCUCAGCUCACACACAGACCUAAAUCAUCACAGCUCACACACAGUCCAUGACCUGCCCAGCUGACACACAGUCCUUGAUCAGCCCAUCUCACAUAGAGUCCUAGAUUAGAUCAAUUUACAGUCCUAAAUCAGCCAUCUUGCAUACUGUCAUGCAGUCUGUGUCAAACAGUCCUAUAUUAGGCUAGCUCAUAGGCAGUCCUAUAUUACCCAGACCACAGGCAGCCAUAAACCAACCAGCUCACACACAAUCAUAGAUUAGCCCAGCCCAGCUCACACACAGUCCUAAAUCAGCCUAGCUCACACACAAUCAUAGAUUAGCCCAGCUCACAUACAGUCAUAGAUCAACUGAGCUCACACACAGUCCCUAAUCAGCCCAGCUCACACAGAAUCAUAGAUCAACUGAACUCACACGCAGUCAUAGAUCAACCCAACUCACACAGUCACAGAUCAACCCAGCUCACAUACAGUCCUAUCUCAACCUAGCUCACACAGUCAUAGAUCAACCUAGCUCACACGCAGUCCUAUAUCAGCUCAGUCCACACACAGUCCCUAAUCAGCCCACCUCACACACAGUCAUAGAUCAACCCAGCUCACACACAAUCAAAGAUCAACCCCACUCACACAGUCAUAGAUCAACCCAGCUCACAUACAGUUUUAUCUCAACCUAGCUCACACAGUCUUAGAUCAACCUAGCUCACAGGCAGUCCUAUAUCAGCUCAGUCCACACACAGUCCCUAAUCAGCCCAGCUCACACACAGUCAUAGAUCAACCCAACUCACACACAGUCAUAGAUCAACCCAGCUCACAUACAGUCCUAUCUAAACUCAGCUCACACAGUCAUAGAUCAACCCAGCUCACAGCCUCACACACAGUCCUAGAUCAGCUCAGUCCACACACAGUCCCUAAUCACCCCAACUCACACACAGUCAUGGAUCAAACAGCUCACACUCAGUCCUAUUCCAGCUCAUACACAGUCCUAGAUCAGCCAUCUUGCAAACAGCCCUAGCUCACACAGACUCCUAGAUUUAAUAAACUCUUCACUUCACUCUUCACUGGUGUAAUUAUUAAGUCUUAAAUAUGCCUUUUAUCUGUUUAGGUUUGACUGUGUGAUCAUUCUCAGUGAUCUAAACAUGGCAUAUCUGUACUGGGACAGUGAAACAUAAAUAUGUCAGACCAUAUCUGUAUAAUAUCAUAUACUGGAUUAAAAAGCAAGUGGUCCAUUUAAUGAAGGAAACAGCAAAAUUCAGGAUCAACAUGUCGGUAAAAAAAUUAUUCUAAAUGCAGACUUUUGUUUGUUUGCUUGUUUUUAAAACUGUCUCUGUUUUCUUUCACUUGCUGUUCAGUAAGUACACCGUGAUGGUUUAAUUCAUUUAAUUUAAUUCAUUAUAUGCCAAGCUAUUUGGGCCAUAAUAGCCAAAUUAAAAAACAAAACAAAAAACCCUCCAGAUUUCAGUUUUCAUAUCAGGAAUAAAUCACCAUUGAAAUAUAGACAGACUUACAAUAAUGUGGCAGUUUGUUACAUAGAUACUGGAUGUUUAAUAUUGUUACAUAUUGACAUUGUAUAUAAUGUAUUCGGGGCUUAUUAAACAGACACAGUCAGUGAACUAUCGUGUUUUGUAUUUUAUUUGAAAAUGGUCAAUAUUCGCCUACUCUGUUUUAUUAACGUUUUCUUAAUGUCAUGUCUCGAUUUGAAAGCAUUAAUUUAAAAAAAAAAAAAGCAAUGCUAAAUUGAAAAGUUAUAUUCGUUUUUUAAAUAAUCAAAAACUAAAACAGGUUACAUUAUCUUCUCUUUUUAUAGAAAAAAAAUGUGAUUUUCAGUUAAUAUUUAGAUAUUAUUAAAAUGAACUCCAAUAUUGCCAAAGGCACUGAGAGCUGUCCCAAUCCUCUGCCUUUUGCUAAAAUUAAAAAAACACAUUAAAAUUUAUAUUAUUCUAAGUCAUUUAGAGUCUGAGAGGACAUACAGUACAUGGUCUGUAUCUCUUUAUUUGUCCCCUUCGUGCAGUUCAAAGCACUUGUUUAUUACUACAUAGUACAGAUCCGUGUUAUUCUGCUAAAGCAAUAUUAUAUGUUUAAUAUUACAUUAGCUAAUUAACUGUGUUUUAUUUUUUAAGCUUGUGGUCUGCCAGUGCCCAUACAUGCAAUUAUUUAUUACAUAUAUUAAUGGAAAAUGAUAUUUUAAGACAUUAAGACACAUUAUGACGAUUUUUUGUUAUACAUUUAUUAAAUAAAGUGAAACUCAGUGGCUUUUAUUGCAAAGGAGCCCAACUAAUCUAAAAAGACAUACUUUACAAGUAAUGAUUACAUUCCUGUAGUUAAUCUUCAUCUUAGUCUAUCGUAAAUAACACACGCUUAUAUAUUGGUCCAUAAUGUUAUAAAGAAAUUUUAUAUUUUUGAACGCUGUAGGAAAACGAAUGUAUAACAUCAAAUGCUUUACAUUAUGACUACAGAUGUUAUGUAUUCACUAAACCUAUAUCAAGUUGUUUAUUUACUGUCAGCUUGUAGAAUAAUUAUGGUAAAAAUAAAGACCAAAUCAAUUGAAUUGGAAAACAAAAAUGUAAACGUCUCAUGCAGCCAAGUCAGAUCAUUUCUCUAACUUUGAAAUUUUGGUUACUCCAGGUUAGACCUCUGAUUUACUUAGCAAAAGUUUAAUAUUUAACACAAAACUGAAGGCAGUACCCUAUUCACAAUAUUAUCUGAGAUUUAGUUUGGCGAUAAAUACUUUUUUUUUUUUUUUUAAAGAGGACAAUGUAUAUUUCCUCUUUUACAAACAGACAACAGACAACUGAUAUAUUAAGUGGCCAAAAGUUAACUAUGUAGGGUCUGUCUAAUAGUGGCCAAGUUGUACUGAGUUGCUCAAUGUAAUAUCAAAUGGCAGACUUGGGGAAAAAGAAUUCUCAACCACACUGCAAAUCAAUUAAAAAGUCUUUAAAGUAGAUUGUCAUUUACCUAAACUUACCUUAUGUAACCAAUACACACUGCUGGCAAUUUGCCAAUUCAUUAACUAAUAGUCAAAUUAUCUCACUGCUCAUACUGAUCUGUUUAAGUGAUGGUUAAAUGUCUAAAGAUUGGGAAUAAUAUCAAUAAAUUCCUAAUUCAUAGAGACAAAGAAUAAUAGGGUAACCCUUAAAAAAUAAAUAUAAUCCCAUAACCAAGCCUACACAUUAAGUCCCUGACACCUAUAGGCCUGGGCUGUGUGCAUUAACCAUCCUCUAAAAUAAAAGGUACAUAAUUUAUUUCACUAUUCUGAUCUUAAAUGAGGACAAUGAAGUCUCAUGUUUUUUUCCAUAGAAAUAUGAAUCCAUUAAGGAUAAAAAAAAAAUCUUUUAAUUUCUCAGGCAGCUAUCAAAAUGUUUGGGGUGUUCCUUUUAGAAAGCAAACUGUAGAGACCACCAUUCUUAAAAAAAGACCUAGGGGCAUUUGCUGAUUUUUGAAAAAUAAUAGUUUAUUUAUUGUAGCAAUCCUGAAAUAUACAAUAUAUGAUAAUAGCUACAUGUGAAAUAAGCAUUAGCUAUCAAAAUUACAUGUUAACAAUAUUCCAAUAUUAUAUUGUAUUAUAUGGUAACAAUUUCUGACUUUUCAGAAAAAAAACUCCAAUUGUUUGGUGAUCAAACACAAAAAACAAUGGUAUGAGUGGUGCCCUAACUUACCCCUUAUUUUUCACAGGGGUAAGUUACAUUUAGUUGUUCAGUUGGGGGGGAGGGGGGUUAGGAUUUUUGUGUUUGGUUUGUUGUGGCUCAUAGAAGGAGUGUCCAUGAGUGUUUAGAACUACUAUCACUGAAAGCACUUUCUUGAUUGUGUUAAGCGCCUUUUUAUCACUUUUCUGACAUAUUUUUAUGAAUUUCUGACUUUGGCUGGUAUUGUGUUUUCAGAUUUCGCAAAACAUUUUAUUUCUGGAAAUGCCACAUAAGUCAUAAAACUUUAUCAUCUUACAACCAAGCCCUUGAGAUGUCAGUAUUAACAUGCCAAAAUCACAAGGUUAACAAAAAAACAAAAAAAAGCCCUAAAAACAGAAGGCACUUUUGUAGACUUUUCACCUACAUCACAGGUUGAUGGGAAUAGAUAGCUAAGUGCAUCAAUGAUUCUAAUAGGUGACAAUUGUGUCAUUAAUUUAUGUUUGAUUUGGACGUUGCAUGGUGUAUGUUUCUCUACACAGGCGUUUCAAGUAUUGCUGUAGUUUUGUUGUUGUUACAGUGUUUAUUUGUUCUUGAGUUCAUUUUGCUCAUGGUUAAAUAUCUAAAAAUAUUUUGGGGUACUGGUCAGUUGAUAGAGAACAAUUUUCAUGUCCUUUUCAAGUUCGAUGAAGUGUUUAAUUCGCUAACAGAUUUAGUCACUAAAGUCCAAAUUUCACAAAUUAAAUCUGAAUGGCAAUACUAAGGUAAAAUUAUCAAACCGUUGUGAAGAUGAUGGCGAAAUUGUUCUCUAUCAACUGACCAAUGAAAUGCAUGGCCAAGAUGUUAUUAUAAAUUUAUUUUUUCAGGGUUAUGGAAAAAUCUAAUUACCUUUUACCAGUUCACAUUUUUAAUUCACAAAAACAAUUUACUUUUUUAAUUACAAAACAGUGAUGUGCAGUAAGUUAAAAGAACACCCCACACACCAUAACCACUACAGUUCAUGUGUACUCAUAUUUAAAUACACACACACACUCACAAGCUCACAUUCAUAUACAAACACACAUCCAUACAGACACAUGCUAACAUUCAUAGACGCAGACUCAAAUUCAUAUACAGACAUAGAAAUUAUCACACACUCUCACAUUCAUAUGCACGCACACACAUAUUCGCACAGACAUACUCAUAUUUAUACACUCAUAUUUAUACACUUUUGAUGUAGUGGAUGUAGUAUGAAUAGUGAAUGCAGAGUGUGUGUUUGUGUAAGGAUGUAGUGUGUGUAGUGAAUGCAGAGUGUGUGUUUGUGUAAGGAUGUAGUGUGUAUAGUGGUGUGUGUUUGUGUAAGAAUGUAGUGUGUAGUGAAUGCAGAGUGUGUGUUUGUGUAAGGAUGUAGUGUGAGUAUAGUGACUGCAGUGUGUGUUUGUGUAAGUAUGCAAUGUGUAGUGAACGCACAGUGUGUGUUUGUGUAAGAAUGUAGUGUGUGUAUAGUGACAGCAGUGUGUGUUUGUGUAAGAAUGCAAUGUGUAGUGAAUGCACAGUGUGUGUUUGUGUAAGAAUGUAGUGUGUGUAUAGUGACUACAGUGUGUGUUUGCGUAAGAAUGUAGUGUGUGUAUAGUGACUGCUGUGUGUGUUUGUGCAAGGAUGCAAUGUGUAGUGAACGCACAGUGUGUGUUUAUGUAAGAUUGUAGCGUGUGUAUAGUGACUGCGGUGUGUGUUUGUGUACGGAUGCAAUGUGUAGUGAAUGCACAGUGUGUGUUUGUGUAAAAAUGUAGUGUGUGUAUAGUGACUGCAGUGUGUGUUUGUUUAAGGAUGCAAUGUGUAGUAAACACACAGUGUAUUUGUGUAAGAUUGUAGUGUGUAGAUAGUGACUGCAGUGUGUGUUUGUUUAAGGAUGCAAUGUGUAGUAAACACACAGUGUAUUUGUGUAAGAUUGUAGUGUGUAGAUAGUGACUGCAGUGUGUGUUUGUGUAAGGAUGCAAUGUGUAGUGAAUGCAGUGUGUGUUUGUGUAAGAAUGUAGUGUGUAGUGAAUGCAGAGUGUGUUUGUGUAAGAAUGUAGUGUGUUUGUAUAGUGACUGCAGUGUGUGCUCUCACAGCCGCAGGACUCAGGAGAAUUAGACAGAGAAGAUCGGCUAGGAAGUGAAGAUGGAGUGAGCUGGGCCCCCUCUGCAGUGAACAGGCAGCUAGGGGCCCGCAUGUGCAAAUAUAUAUAACAGGACCGCUGGGCCCAUGAAAACGGUGAAGAUUGUCAUGCCCUGAUGGUGCCCUGGUCAGAGCAGAAGCUCCACUCCUAUCUGUGAGAUCUGCUUAGUUGAAUUGAAUAUUAUGUUAGCUUUAGUGCGCUGAUAGUCUUAAUUUUUGUAAUGACAGGAGGUGAAUAUUUUGUUUAUGUCUCUCUUUACUUGAACUCCAUAAUUAUACACCAAAACCUUUAACCAAUCAGAAACAAGGAAAAGUUAAUAUAAGCUCCACCCCUACAACAAAACUGCAAUGUAGAACUUAAAUAAUUUCUUCCUAGUUUGAGAAGAAUGGCCUUCAGCAGUAGGUUAGAAUCUGAUGAUCAAACUGGAAAGAUAGAAAGAAACAUGCGAAAAAUAAAGGUUAUUCAAUGGGAAAAUAUAUAAAUCACAUGAUCAUGCAUUAAAAUGUCUUAUGAAUUAGCAAAGUAAUUAUAACUAAAUCAAUCACAGUGCUAAAUAAACACAUAAAUAGAGGACAAAAAACAAAAAUCAUGAACCAGAAAAACACCCCCGAUAAAUACUAGAAACAUAGGAAGGGCAAACAAAAGAGGAAAUAUUUGCCUCCUCUCAUUACUAAAAUGAAGAUUAUCAAUACACUAAAGCUAACAACGCAAAAGAAGUAUGAGCAAGAGAAAUAAAGUUAAACUGCCUAAAAAGUAUCUUGAGACCAGUCCCCCGAUAGCAUAAUAUCACAGAGAGAAGCUCCCGCCAUAAAAGCUUGCAGUUUUGCAAUAUCCUGAACCGAAUGGGCACCGAAGGAGGGAUCAAUCAAAAGAUAACAGUCAACUAACUCCCGAGCAAGGAUAGCAGUAGAGACCUGUCUGUAUUGGCAAACAUAUGAAAUGAGUAGUUGACUAGAGUUAGAGGCGUGUAACAAAGACGUAACCUCAACUUAUGGGAAAGAGCAAAAAACCAUGCAAAGUUUCCGAACGUUGCGAAAAUAAAGGGAUAAAAAAGCAACAAAAGUAACCUCUUCAGUGGAAAAGGGAAAAGCGUCAACAUCAAACACAGCUGACAGGGUGAUAGGUCUGCAUUAUGCAGCCAAGCACCUGGGAAGUGGAGGACUAGGUCCACAUACUUAGGUAAAGGAAGACGAGCCAAUCUGAUACCCCUUAAGAAACAACAAAUAAAUGGAUUCUGUUAUACCUUUGUACCAGCAGGUCAGCUGCUGAGAUAGCCGACUGUACCACAUUAAUAGAUUAAUAGGACCUACCUAAUGUGACAAAACAUCUAAAACUACGAGAACAGGAGCUUUAGAUCGGAAUUCCUUUCCAGAAAUCAACAACACUAGGAAACUCACGCCGAAAGGAAACUUCUCGUGCAAGGAGUCCAUAGGUUCCAUAAGACAUUCUUAGACAUCUGCAAUAGGCUGUCAACAUUCCAUGUUCACUGGAAAGCGCCAAAGCCAACAACUGCUCCUCCUAAAUUAUUGAGAUAUUGUACCACUGAUAUGUUGUACAUUCACAACAAAAUGCAACAAAAGGAGAAGAUGAUUGUCUAGACUGCGAAUGCCAAACAAACCCGUUAUCAAUUCCAAACAAUUGAUGCAGUUUGUGCAUUUCUGGAUGUGCAAAUCCCUUGACUGGGAGGUCCAUAAUUGUUUAUAGGCAGAGUGCCUCAGGCUUUGUCUUCCAGACUCUUUCGCGCUAACACGAUAUUGCGUCAACAGUGUUAGAGUGAUAUAGUCUGGAAUACAAGUGCAUUCUGCAAGUAAACAAGUACGAACCUCCUGAUUGAGGGAUUUGCAGAAAUGCACAAACUGUGCCAGAUGAUCUGGCAAUGACCAGUCUGAAGAUCUGAGAUGUUGAAUGGCCCUCUGGUCGAACAAUGGAUUACCACUCGAGUUGAUCAAUGGAUCCUUUCCAAUGACAUUUUGGUAGUUUAACUGGUCCACCAGUUGAUACCUUGGAUUCAGCUGAAUCUUCCACUGACUGCAGUAUGUCACAGGUCAUUUAGGACAUGGGCACUCGGUCUCUAGGAGCGUGAGGAAGCACUUUAGCUAAGGCUCUUUCUACCUGUGCUGGUGAGGAGCAUCAAAGAAAGAAGAAGUGCUUGGGAGGGGAUGGAGCUUAUAUUUAUUUUUCUUUGUUUUGUUGUAUAACUGUGUGCUGUGGAGUCCAAUAAAGAGAGAGGAAAAUAUGAGGUCUCCUGUCAUGUGGUAAAAUUGCAAAGCAGACAUUGCUCUGGUGAGAAGGGGCUGCUAUGUGCAUCCUCGUGCAGACUGUCACCCAGGGUGGAUCACCCCCACAGCCCCCAAGUUAGUAUACUACUAAAUUCUAGUCAUGUGGCCAAGCUGUAUAUAAAAUAUAUAAUGAUGUUAAAGACCACUGGACAAAAAAAUUAUAUAAUCAUUAUAUUAGUGUAAAUUUAAUUUGGGAAAUACAAAAGAACCUCAUAGCUCUGUAAGAACAGCACAAAAUAAAUGGUAAUUGGAAACCAUCAGUGGUAACUGGUAAAGUGUUAAGAUGGUGGGACUAUGUCCCUAGCGCUGUAGCCAACAUCUUCUAACCAGUGACAUCUGUCCACUUUACCUUAUGUAGUCAACCCCUUAUGGCAAUCCCCAUGCAAUAUACAGAGCUGCAUACAAUACUAAGCAACCCAUGCAAUACUCAGAACCAUAACAGAGAGAUAUCCAUACAAUACUCAAAGCUUGGUACAAUACAGAGAUAUAUAUAUAAUACACAUAACUGAGCACAAUUCAGAGAUACACAUAAAGUACACAGGGACAUGCACAAUACAGAGAUGUCCAUACAAUACAAAACAAUCAGUACAGUAAGGAGAUAUAAAUACAAUACAUGGAGCUGAGCGUAAUACAAAAAUAUCCAUUCAAUACAUAGCACUGGACAAAACCAGGGCCGGAUUAACAUAGGGGCUGAUGGAGCUGCAGCUCCAGGCCCAGGCCCAUGGAAUAGGCCCACUGAUUUAAAAAAAAAAAAAAAAAAAAAUUUUUUCACAUUUUUUUUUUCCACUCACUACUCUUAGGGAUUCCACCUGGCUUUUAUUUUAUUGGCACAGCCAGUAUUUGAGGCUGCCUGGCUGGUACCAAUAUUGCAGUGAUACUGGCAAUACAAAUGCUGGUAUUUUUCUCAGUAUAAAUGGAGAUUACUCUGCAAUACCAGCACUGGCCAGUAGUGGUCGCUGUAUGUGGAGACAGGCAGGGAUAGGAAGUUCCAGCAUAUCCCUCCCUGCCUAUCUAUACUUACUGAUCUGCAGGGGUGCAGCUACAGAGAGUCCAGACAGCAACUCCCACCCUGCAGAGACAGCCUACAGCUCAGGGAAGUAAGGGAUGGGGUGAAAGACUGCAAGGAGACAUACACUAAGGGACAUUGGGAGACAUUAUGACACAGCCAGUGUCCCUGGUGUCUCAGUGCCCCCUAGUCUCCCAGUGACCCCAGUCUGCCAGUGCCCCCAGUCUGCCAGUGUCUCACUGUCCCCAUAUCUCAUAGUGCCUCCAUGUCUCUCAGUGCCUCAAGUGUCACAAUGUCCCCAUGUCUCCAAGCUAGUGUCCCUAGUGUCUGUGGCCCUGGUGUCUCAGUGUCCCCAUGUCUCCUAUUGCCUCCAUGUCUCAAUGUCCCCUAGCCAGUGUCUCUAGUGUCUGUGUCCCCAUGUCUUCAAGUGUCCACUAUUUUCCCAUUGUCCCCAUGUGUCCCAGCCAGAGUCCCCUAGUCUCCCAGUGUCACUGGUGUCUCUGUGUCCCUAGGUCUCCCCGUCUUCCUAGUGUCCUAGUGACAUAGGGACCCUGGGAUACAUGGGGACACAGGGAGACAUGGAGCAUUGAGACACUGUGAUACAUAGGAACACUGAGACCUGGAGUAAUCGACACAUGGGGGCACUGGGAGGAAUCCAUCUAUACAGCAGAAUCAAACUAAGUAGUUUUUUGGUGAUUUUACAGAAUUUUCUCUUAUGUUACUCCUUGUGAUUUACAUCAUGUGAUGUCACCCAUACAUAUUUAAUUAUGCAAAUUAGUAAGGCCCGUAUGUUUUUCCAAGAAAGGUGGCAACCCUAACUACUUUUCACAUACUCUUACUUAAGUAUGGAAACUUAAGAGGGAUGUAUGGGAACCAAACUUGUAUGGACUGGCCGACAAUGAAUAUAGUUAAAGGGACACUAUAGUCACCAGAACAACAACAGCUUAUUGAAUUUGUUCUGGUGAGUAGAAUGUAUGUGUAUGUGGUGAGUAGAAUCAGUACCGUCAGGCUUUUUGCUGUAAACACUGUCUUUUCAGAGAAAAUGCAGUGUUUACAUUACAGCCUAGUGAUUACUUCACUGGCCACUCAGAUGGCUGUUAGAGAUCCUUCCUGGGUCAUGGCUGCCUAACAUGCAUCCAAACAUUCAGUGUCUCCUCCCUCUGCAUGCAGACACUGAACUUAUCUCAUAGAGAUUAAUUCAUUCAAUUCAUCUCUAUAAGGAGAUGCUGAUUGGCCAGGGCUGUGUUUGAAUCAUGCUGGCUCUGACCCUGAUCUGCCUCUUUGUCAGUCUCAGCCAAUCCUAUGGGGAAGCACUGUGAUUGGAUCAGGCCACCACUUCUAAUGAUGUCAGCAGACUGUUUGUUUUUAUGAGUCUAACAGCAUGCAGAGUUACAGCUUCAGGCUUGAAUAUAGUAAGAUUUUUCUAUAUUUAUGGAGGCAUGAGGGGCCCAGGGGGGCUAGAUGGUGGUGUUAACACUAUAUGGUCAUGAAUUCAUGUUUGUGUUCCUGACCCUAUAGUGAUCCUUUAAGGUAAUGUUGACUUUGGUCUCUCUAACACUGUGGCAUGUUCCCUUUCUUCUACACUCACUACAUACAGCUUUUCUCUGUCCCAGACUAUAUACCAGGAGCUUCUGCCUGCUAGUAAGAAGGUAAGAAGACAAGUAGACCAGCAAGUGCUAGGAAACAGUCCUUAGAAAGCAUUGAGUGAGCGCAUCAUUAGAUGCAUUUAUGCCAAGCUCAGGGUGCUGUCUGCAUAGUAUGCCCUUAGUUGGCCAGCUGCAUGAUUGGAAGGCAGCCUGACAUGCAUUCAUGCCAGGCUGGCCUUCUAAUUCUUUUGGCAGACAUUCCCUCUUUUUAGGCAUGUUCGCCCCUUUUGGCAGGUCACGUGAUUUGUGUCAGUGGCACACCCUUUUACCGUGCCCAUUGACUUCCUGCUUGACUGGACACUGCUGUUAGGGGUUAUGGAUUUACUUGAAAGAUGAAAACAUAAAUUAGUGAGAGAUUAGCCUAGGGUAUGUGUUGUCUUAUAGCUGCUGUUUUCUUUCUCUCCAGCACCAUCUCCAUCAGAUACAUGAUGCUUGGGAGUGUUUUACUGUUUUUGGUCGAUAUGAUUCUGUAAUUAGGCCCGUCUGUAUUGUCAGCACCAGGCCCACUGGGCUCUUAAUCUGGCCCUGGACAAAACACAAAGAUACCCGUAAAGUACACAUAUUUAGCUACAAUACAGAGAUAGCCAUACACCAGUCAGAGCCGAGUAAAAUGUCACAUAGCUAAGGUCACGGACACUGAGUUGCAAUACAGAGAUCUCCACACAGUACAAUGUCUCUGUAUAAUGUUCCAGUUCUCCAUGUCUUACUCUAGCUCUCUAGCCUCCUCUGAGUGUGUAAAUCCCCCUUUUCUGAAUAGUGCUCCUGCUAUCUUUAGCUUUCUAGUUAAUGCUGCUGCUAUGAUGAAACAUGUCAGCUACUCUUGACUCACUGUUAACUCUCAGGACACAGUGUGUGAGCAUGGUGUAAGCAGCAGGAUACCGAUAGACUCCUUAUUACCUCUGCAUCUGGAAAUAUGAUUUAUCUGUAGUGUCAAUAUGUAGCCAACAUGUAGCGGACAUGGUUAAAGGACCACUCUAGGCACCCAGACCACUUCAGCUUAAUGAAGUGGUCUGGGUGCCAGGUCCAGCUAGGGUUAACCCAUUUUUAAAUAAACAUAGCAGUUUCAGAGAAACUGCUAUGUUUAUUAAUGGGUUAAGCCUUCCCCACUCUAGUGGCUGUCUCAUUGACAGCCACUAGAGCGCAUGCUUCUCACUGUGAUUUUCACAGUGAGAGCACGCCAGCGUCCAUAGGAAAGCAUUAUGAAUGCUUUCCUAUGUGACCGGCUGAAUGCGCGCGCAGCUCUUGCCGCGCGUGCGCAUUCAGCCGACGGGGCGGAACGGAGGAGGAGAGCUCUCCGCCCAGCGCUGGAAAAAGGUAAGUUAAAACCCCUUUCCAGAGCCGGGCGGGAGGGGGACCCUGAGUAUGUUUUCCUGGCACUAUAGUGGUCCUUUAAACAGAAGCAACAAUCAUUGCAGAUUAAAAUGAUCAGAAAUAGCCCAGACCUCAGAGUCACAGCCCCAGUUGUUCAAUGUGGAGCAUCACAACUUUUCAACUAGCCACAACAUUAGUUUCUCAGGUCUCAGCUACAGAGUGACUGAACACUUUAAAAAAGAUGGUGGACACGGCAGCUGAGCCUACACUGUGCAAUGUGCAGUUUGAGUUAUUUAAACUAUUAGUGACAGGCAGCACUAUGCUGACUGUCAGAAAUGUCUGCCAUUUUAACUCCCUUUCCCAUUGUUGUCCCUGGACUUCCCUUGACAUAUAUACAUAGUUCUGCUGCCUAAAAUAUAACUCACUGGGAGGCUACUGAAAUUCCUUCUUAAGAGAAACUAGGCAUGAGUAAAACCCACUGAAUCUGAUUUCAAAUCUAUCUUGUAUUUAUUUAUUUUGCUAUCAAUAGGGAGUUGGGGGUUUCUGCAGCACUGAAGCCAAUUGCAGAAUUAAAGAGACAAAGUUUUUUUUUAAAUGUAUUCAUGAUUUUCUUUAGCAUUAGUUCACACAUAGGCAAUGGCUAUGUAAUUCUCAUUUCCCCCCAUAUUUAUUUGCUGACCCCCCUCCCUAGGAUAAAAAAGUGGUCCUAGACUACGGAAAGUAAUUUUUUUCCACAUAAAAACAAGUGUUUCUGUGAGUAAGCACUAGAAACCAUGUUUGUGGUGUUAUGUAAAAAAAAAAAAAAAAAAAAAAAAGUGUUUUGCUUUGGAACCUAUAUGCCAAUAAACGAAUAAACGAAUAAAUAGAAACAAAUGCAUCCCACAAGACUAGCCAUUCUCAAGCCCAGAAGACCAGUUGGCAAAUCAGUAAAUAAAACAUUUUACCAGAAUGCAGGAUAUUGCCUGAUACUGUUAACAGGAUAUCAAAUCAUACCGCAGCAUCUGCUGUUACCUUGUGUGGAUGUAGCGGGGAAUGUGAUGCAAAUAAGAACAUUGGAGCCUACACUAAGUACCCCCCCAAUAACGACAGACACCAGAUUUGGAUGAAACAAGCCACAGCAUUUAUUAAAACAUAAGACUUUAGGACUCAUCCAACACUUAUUAAACUUUAUCAUUUAAUUAUAACCAGAGAUAAAUACAUAAAUAAUCCAUAACAACAAAUAAUUAUUAACACCUAUUGCCCUACAGACAUGAGCUUCAUAAACAUCCUUGCCAAUGAAAGAGACCAUGUGCCCAUGCACUAACUUGCCCACAGGGUUCUCGCCUUCUCCCCUCAUCCAAACCAAAUUCUCUUUUCUUUUCAGUGCUUACCACCAGUCAGCUUCUAGCUCGGUGGGCACAUCCAAGUCAGUAAGUUACAAAUUUUCCCUACAGAGCAGGGGAAGUUGAGACCCGACCAUGUCUAUAGCACCCCACUAGCUUUGACAUGAACGAACAUCAAACAUAAAGAAGAGGGUGGGUGGGAGGGCAAUUGUUUGCUGGCCCAUCUCACUAGAGGCACUGGGGUAGGAUGAUCCCUACACCACUCCCAAACACAUAACCACUCCUAUACACACUUACAACCAAUCACAAGCAUCCAUCCCCACACUCAUACAUGUGCCCUUGUCUGCUUACCUGGGCUAUCUCCCCAGGGCCUAGAUGAUGGGUAGACAACCUUUGGCACUCCUGAUGCUGUGGACUACAUAAUACUCUUAAAGCAGUAAUACUGGCAAAGCAUCAAGGGAGAUGUAGUCCACAACAUCUGGAGUGCAAAGGUUGUCUACCCCUGACCUAGACUAUAAAGCUCUCAGCAAAAGAAUAGCAUCAGAUAGAAGUGUGAAUUGGACCAGCUAUUAUACUUAAUAUUGAAUAUUGAAUCGGAUUACCUAUAGCAUCCAGUGUCAGGUACAUCUUCCAUAGGAAAACCUUUCCAUGCAAUAUUCGCUAUAAUAUACACCAAUGUUUGCUAUUUCUGAGCCUUUCAUAACCUCUCAGGUAGCAAGGUGAAUUGGCUUUUCACAUGAGUUACCAAAUUUGAUUUAUUCAAAUAAUUUAAAUUGCAGAAAUUCUUUGGCUCAGCGUUACAAGCUUUUAUUCAGUACAAUAUGUCUGAAUAUUUUAUGUUUUGAUAUGUCAUUCCAAUCUCAACCUUAAUAAAAAUAAAAUGUCAUUAAUAAUAGCUACACAAGAACCACUUGUUUUUGUGCUACUGGGGCAAGAAAGCAUUUGCAAUUUGUACCAAUUUUAAUGUUCUUACAAAAUGUUUAAGUAUAAUUUUGAUCAUUAUACUGCAUUGCCAAUAUUGCUCAAACUGCUUAUUUUUAAUGUAACCAACCCUAGAUUCCUUGAACACUCUCUUAUCUAGACUAGUUACCCUACUGUUUAUUAACCAGAUGUCAGGGGUAUUUCAGACCACCCUAAACAGCCUAAUCCAUGCCAUUUGACAGACACUGGAGACAGGGUAAUAGUUCAUCAUUGCAUAAAGGCAAGACUCUUGUCUAAAAUCUCUUUAGACACCCUGCUAACAGCUUCACAUACUACAUGUAAAAUCCCUAUAUAGUGUGUGAAGAAAUAUUAAUGUUAUAUAGAUAACAUAAUAUGUUUCUUUCCUGCUUUGUAUAAACCUAAUAUUGAUAAUUCCUCUGUAAGUCUUUUUUAAUUGAAAGAUUAUGGAGUAAAGAAUAUGGACAAAAUUAUUCUACUUAAAAUAUGUUAAUAUAUACAGCUAAAUAAAAAGAAAAGAUGCAUAAUAAUUUGGGGAGUAUCUAUUCUUCAUCACCUCAUAUCUCUAAAAAGAGAACCAUUGUAACACUGAAUAUAGUACUCAAAAUAAGAAUUUGACUAUGGCAAUGAGUUUUGAUGCCACUUGACGCCAGUGAGUUCAAACAUUGUUCCACACCUCCCUGGUCUGUCCCUCUACAUUGUGCAGCGGGGGCUUUAAAUUAAGUCAUAAAUUCCACACUGAAUUGCAGGAAUGGGGAACAAAGAGUUAGGAAGGACUAUGGUCAAAUAUAAUAGCAUGUCUGUAGGCCAGUGGCGUACUAAAGAGGGUCGUGGGGGGGCGGUCUGUCCUGUGUGCUACUUACUAGGGGGUGUCAAUACCAGGUCACACAUAGAGGUGCCAGCAGCCGCAGAACUUGAAAACCGGACGCAAGUAACUAAGUGAGGGUGGAGCUAAAUCGUCAGUGGAGGCGAAGCUAAAUCGGCAGCUGGGGCAUAGCUAAACACAAAGUUCCUGCUUCCCCAACUACCUAAGUUAAUGCUAUUGUAACAAAUUACAUUUCUCCCCUCCCCUUACCUCUUGUGUCACCACACCCCACUCCCUCUAGUAUGUAAGCUAAUUCAGUAAUGCCCUCAAUCCCUCUAUUCCUGUGCGUCCAACAAGUCUGGUCACAAAUACUUAUCUGUUAGUCCACCCAUUGUACAGCGCUGUGGAAUUUGUUGGCGCUUUAUAAAUAAGAUAAGAUAGAAAAAAAAUGUUCACUUGGAAGUAUGAUCCAGUGAAAAAUAUAGGAACAAAUAAACUUUCUAUCAAGUCUUGUGAGCUAUACCGUAAAGUUAAAAACUGCCAACAAAUAAAUAUGUGCAAAGUGAAAAAAACAUUGUUAAAAAGUAAAAUAUUUCUAUCCCUUGGAUUUGUGUAGGAGUCAAUGCGAUUGGCUGGAUGUUGCAAACAUUACACAGCUACAUUUAUCUGACGUUACAGUAAUAAAUGGAGCUCACUCAAAGCAAAGGUGGAUUAAUUUAUUUGAAAUUGUAAAAAAAAGAAAACGCAUACAUAUGAGGUUAAAAUCACUGUAGAAGAAAGUAUGACUCACAACUAAUUAUUAGCACCACACAAGGUAAGGGAUAAAAGGUGGGAGAUUUGUAUCCCCUCCUCGAUUCUAUGGGAUGCCUACUAGUUGCUUAGUGGCCCCUUGCACACUGUACAUAGUUUAGGGAAGGGUAAAGAGUAACAAUUCUAAUUCUGUCCUUUGUUGAAUAAUAGCCCCCAAGACUGAGCUGAUUUCAUUUUGAUUAUUUUUCACAAAAUGUCCCUGACCUCAGCUCACGGAGCAAACAGAGGUGUUACUUGACAUGAACCUUUCGGGUAGAGAAUACCAAAGAUUCCAUUAUUGAAGAUCUCAUCAUUUUUUUAAACGUCAGAAUGUGUAUGGAUGAGUGAAAAUGUUUGCAAUUCCUAUUCAUUAGUUAAUGGUCAGCUUGGAUAUUUCAUUCUCGACUCUUUCAUGAACAGAGGCUCAAAUAUGUCCAAUUUUAUUUUAUAUAUUGUCUAAUUAUUCACAAACAAAGGUAUUCAAUAAACUCCAAACUCUUGUGAAUGACAGAAUUAAGACAAAUAAAAGCUUUUACUGUACCAGGGUGCAAACAAUCUGAUCAGUAUUUCCUAAAGCCUAAAUUUUCCUAUUUCGAUAUCAAUUUGUUACAUCUCAAAAUUUUUGUGAAUGACUUAUUCAAGUGUGAAUUGUUGGAAAUUCAAAUGGAAUUCACAGUAAAUUUUAAAUAUUAGGUCACAAUUUUCAAUUGGAAAAGUUUUCCCAGAAACAUAUGUUUUAGUUCAGUCGUUAUGUCCUAAAAUGUACAAUUAACUUUAAAGUUACAACAAUGCACAUUUUAAUGAAUAACUCUGUCUAUAUCUGUAAGUUUUGCACAGUCUCUAGAACCUCGGUAAUCUAUUACAGUAAAGAUAGCUUUAACAGUAAAUGUUUUCACCAUAGAAACAAAAUCAUUAAAGAAAACCUGUGCAGACCAUAACAACUUCAUCAGAAUGAAGUUGUUGUGGUGCCAGGAGUUCCCUGGCGUCAGCUUACCUUCAGGGGUUAAAGCAUUAACAAACUGUUUAAUCCCAAAGUGUUAAAUCCGGUGCCAGUGAGCUUUGCCCCUCUCCUCUUGCUUGAGAAAAAUACACGUUUCUCAUUCAGUUUUGUAAAUGGGGAGGACUGAUUGGCUUAGCACGUCAGCUGCAACCCUGUCUUAGGCUGUCCAAGGCGUCCUGAUUCAGGCUAUUGAGAAAAGCGGAAAUAGAGGGGCAGCAAUAACCAGCACUGUAUUCAGUAGUUUUGGGGUUAUAUCGUUUGUCAAAUGUAAAGCCAACACCAGUGACCUCCUGGCACAAUAACAACUUAAUUCUAAUUUAGAAGUGAUGGUGUCCGAAGUUUCAUUUUAUUUAAUAUAUCAUUGUUUAGUUACUAUCUUCCUACAUUUUUUUAUGCUUUUUAGCAAUUCAUACUCCAUAUUGUUCUCGUUUUAAAUAUAUGGCAGCAUAUUAACGCAGCACGUGCAUAAAAAGCCUAUACAUGGAUUUCCAAAUAACCAAAAAUAACUACAAAAAUACAGUAGAAAGUGUUCUUUUGCAUACCCUAUAAUCAACAGCAUGGUGCAGGCUGGCUGUUCUGUCAAUUAACUUUAUCCCAUUAGGUGACAUCAUAUCUUCAACAGGUUGCCUUCAAAACAACAAGGCUGUUGUUUAAGAUGCCAUUUUUUUUCUGGCCUGUGAAACAAGGAGAGUUUACUUUCCAUACUAAGCCGCGGGCUUUACAAGCAGCCCUAACAAUCCAGGUACUGUUACUAUGGUACCUAUUAAAAUAAAGCAUUUAUUUGCACAAUACUGAACAGGUUAAAGUCACUUUCAAGAGUCCUGUUUCUAAAUUGGCAUGCUUUUAUUGCAUGUUUUUUCAAUAAAUAGUUGAAGUUUGCAUGUAGUUAUUUCAGUGAAGUUGUAAGAAAGUUCAAGUGACAUUUGGUGAAAUUGUUCACCAGAAGAAUAACCUUUACUUGGUUUUAACAUUUGUCAAAAUCUAAGAACAACUCGAAUAUCUAAAAGUAAAACGUAAAAGACUAUUUAAAAUGUAAUGAGCAUGAAAUAGCUUAUUGUAGUGGUUUCUCUAUAUUUAGAACUAAUGAUUAAAAGUCUACACAAAAGUAAAUAAAAAUACAUUCUACAGCUAAAUAUAUAUAAUUUGCAAUACUGUUUUCCAUCCAGCACAACACACUGUUUAGUAAAUAGACUUUUAUGUAAACAGUAACCUAGAGAAAUAAUGGACGCAUUAUUAAGGGAUUACUACGAAAUAUUUGCAGGGAGGUACAAAAAAAAAAAGUUGUUUUAUAUUUACAAUUUCUAUGAUGCUUUGACAGCCUGCGUAAUUAAACAUUAUAAGAUAUGGAUUUGUAUAACAGAUCUCCCUGGUGUAUAUUUUGGCAAAUGUGAUGUACAACAUGCAGUUGUAUGGUAGCAUAUUUAAGCAAACAUAGCAAUGCAUUACUUACAUUAAUAGACAUUGCUUGUCUUAUGCCUUUAGAACUUAGUACCUACCAUCCUACAUCCAACCUCUUGUAUAUGAUUUUGAUAAUUUAAAUCUCUGGUUGGAAAGUUUAAUACAUGAGCUACAUGCAACUUUAGGUAAGCAGAAAUGUUUGCAAUGUAAUGUUUGGAGGGUUUAAAUGGGCAUUGUAGGCACUUUAACUGCUAGAUCUCUUUGAAGUGGUUAUAGUGUCUGAAAUUUGAAGUGGUUAUAGUGUCUGGAGCCUAGUACCAUUCUUCCAUUCAGAGUUACAAAUUCUAAUGUUUCAAAAGCGGGUCCCCUGCAGCCCAUCCUCUUUGUGCUGCUUCGGCUAGUGGGGAAGCAUUAGGCUGAGCAGCAAUGGGUAUUUGUGACUGGCUGUGAGUGUCAGCUGACUGCUUUCAGCCUAUUACAGCACCCAUUGCUGGUAUAAAAUGGUAUGGCUAGAAGGAAGUGUGUAAUCUUUGCCUUAGUCAUAUCUCCAUUCGGGGCCAUCAUGUGGGUGGUAGGGGACUAUUGUUUAGUGUUAAACUUCUCAAAAUGGUUUAACACUUAAUGGAAGGAUAGUGCAAGGGACUCCAAGCUAUAACCAAUUCAGUGACAAGAAAUGAUUGCAGUAACUAUAGUGUCACUUUAAGUAAACAUCUAUAUGCACUACACAUCAUGGAUUCUGGCUCAAGAAAAAAAAAAGCUCUGAAUAUGAUUUGAAAGAGAUGAGAUGGGGCAGUGUAAAGCCAAUAGUAGUUACUCCUUACUAGAAUUACAGUAAUUAGUUGUUGUAUUAGAAAUCCCAACACUGGACUAGUACCUGUAUUAAGAGCAGUGAGAGUGAUAGAUAGUUACUUACUUCGAAGUUCGCAUCCCACAGAAACUCAUAGUCAAACCAAUGAGUAAUUGAGCUUUCUGCUACUGCAGAAACCCCAGUGAAAUUAAUUAUGUUUCUGGAAUCCUAUGCAAACUGUUCCAAUUCAAGAACUGAUAGAUCUAUAUUGUUUUUACUAGGGUUUAUAUUUCAUAUGAUUUGCAUGUUGUGGCCUUAACAAAGGUAAUACUUUGGAUGGUUUUUGGUUCAAAGCCCUACUGGGAGAUAAACUGCUGCUCUGGGGGUAAGUUAAAUUUACACAUUUAUGAGACACAUAUUUAGGAUUUAUAAUGAUAAAGUGAACUUCUUCAUUAUUAGGUUUGUGCUUCUGUGGCUGAGAAUAUAAUUUUUCUGUGAAAAAGCUUGAAAAUGGUUUGACAAAUGUCAAGGGCCACUCACUUCCUAGAAGAACAACUUGUAGUGAUUAUGGUGUUUGGUUGUGUCCCUUUAAUAGACGCUAAUACCUUGUGCUUUUCGAGUCAUCAUUUAUGGUAGCCAUUAUAAUAUUUUUGUCUACAGUAGUUUUGCACUUUUAUUUCCAUUAGUAGAAUGAUGAAGGCAGCACCCAUGGUUUAGAACUCUACCAAUCUAUACCCCACUAAGCAGCUGUUUUUCCACUCUUUUAUAACGUCAGGACACAUCUUUAUCUUGUGUCUACCUGUAUUUUAUCUCUAACAGUUAUUUGAUUUUUUUAUGAAACCACUGCUUUUAAAUUGAAAUAUUUUUUUUUUUUUGUAAAUAUAUUUUUAUUUGAUAUAAAGGUUGCCUCGUUCAAAUAUUCGAGGAGAAGAAGAUGAUGAACAUGCAAACAAAAAUUGGUGACGCGCAGGUCACAUUGUAACGUUGGAAACAGUGGUUUGUUGGACUCGCAGGUCCCGUGAAACAUAUUCAUUAGGUAGUAUUUUCACUUGGUGCGAUAUAUGAGGGUAUGGACCUACAGGUCCCCACAUACCUAGAGUUAGUGCCCGCGUCAAGAGGUUUCGGGUCGCGUCGUGUAUCAAUGCUUGUUUGUGUGCUCGUGCCAGCGGCACGCCUGUCCUUAGGUGGUAGGUAGAGUAACGGUAUAGUCGCCUUUGUGGCAAGUGCAGAGGUGAUUGUAUCUCGCAGGCUUCUGCGUGAUGCCGCCUUCUAAGAGGUCGGGGGAAACGUUGUCCAACUUGUGGUGUAGGAGUCGAAGUUAUAGUGAGUUUUCGUCACAGUUCGUGCGGUCUGUAGGGGCGUGUGUGUAUUGUGAGGGUUCUGUCUGUCGGGGGUCGGGUUACUGUCGGGGUAUGUCUUCGUCUGCGGUCGCUUGGUCCACGUAUCUGAGUCUGUGCGCGAAGUCGUCUUUGGAGGUCGUCAGGAGCCAGUGUGACCAGAUUUCUAGAUAUUUGUCAGAGGCGUUAGUGGCGCACAUGUUAAGUUCUUCCACUGCCCUAAGCUCUUCCAUUUGGGCAAACCAAGUAGUCAGUGGGGGUGUGACUGUCUGCUUCCAGAAUUGUGGGAGCACCUGUUUGGCUACAUUUAACAUUCGUAUGGUUAGUGAUUUCUUGUAUCGUGAUCUGGGGGUCUUCGUGUGGUGUAGGAGCAUGGCCUCGGGUAGGAAGGGUGGUGGUGCAUCAGAAAAUGUUUGGAGGAAACCGUGUAUGCCUUUCCAGAAGGGUCGGAUGGCCUCACAGUCCCACCAUAGGUGGAGAGUGGUGCCUAUGCCAGUAUUGCAUCUCCAGCAAAGGUCUGAGUUGUCUGGGUUGAUAGCGUGGAGUGUGGUCGGGGUACAGUACCAAUUUGUAAGGAGCUUAAAUGCCGUUUCCUGUGUCUUGCUGAAGACUGAGCAGUGAUGCGUUAAGUAGCACAUCUUCUCCCAGUCUCCAGCAGUAAAUGUUUUACCUAGUGUCUGUUCCCAUUUCCCCAUGAACUUCGGUAGCUCUGUUAGGGUUUCCCUCUGGAGUGUAGAGUAUAUGAGUGAGAUCCCGUGUGGUUGGGGGUCUGGGUCCAUGCAUAGUCGUUUGAACGUGGUGGGAUCUCUUGUCAGGGCUGUGCCACCUGGGAGUGUGCGUACAUAACUUCUUAGUUGUCUAUAUUUGAGGUGAUGUAGUAGGGUAGGAGUGGUUCCUUCUAGAAGGUUAGGGAGUGUUUUGCAGUCAGUCCCGUCGAGUAGAUGGUAUAGUUUGGGGUCGUCAUGGUGUAGUAGAUCUCUGAAUGCGUUGGGGUCGGAGCCUGGGGGGAAGUCAUCGUUGUGGGUCAAAGGGAGGAGGGGGGACGGGUACGGCGCCAAUCUGUACCUUUUUGCCGCCCCCCUCCACACCUGUAGUGUCGCUGCCGUGUAGGGCGAGCAAUGUCCUCCCCUUCCCCCCCCCGCUUGCCAUGGCAGGGUGGACAGUGGCCUCCCAGCCUCCGCUUCCUCCACGUCUUUCCACAUUUUGGGCGCCUUCCCUUUUGACCACUCCAUGACUCUUUGGAGGUGGCAGGAUUCAUAGUACAGGGUAAGGUCUGGCAUAGCCAGGCCUCCCCUGUCCUUAGGUAAUGUCAGCGUGGACAUCUUAACCCUCGGUCUGCGAUGGUUCCAGACAUAUUUUCCCAUUGCUUGUCUCAGGGUGGCAAAGAAGUGCCUGGGGAUAGUGGUGGGGAGGGCCUGCAUAAGGUAAAGUAGGCGCGGGAGGAAAUUCAUUUUUAUCACUUGGAUCCUGCCUAACCAGGAGAUAUGUGGGAAUGCCCAGUCUGAUAGGUCUCGUUUAAAUCUGUCUAAUAGUGGGGCAAAGUUUUCUUUGUAAAGGUCUGUGGUCUUCUUAGUCAGCCAUGUACCAAGGUAUUGGAUCUUACGGUCCGCCCAUUGGAACGUGUGGCUCUGUCUCAGUGGUGUGGCCCUGGUCUCGGACACGCUGACAUUCAGGAUGUAGGACUUCGAAAAAUUGAUUUUAAGGUUGGAGAUGGCCCCGUAUUCCCUGAACGCUUUCAAUAUGUUUGGUAACGUGAUUUCAGGGUUGGUGACAAAGAACAGGAGGUCAUCGGCGUAUGCCGCUACCUUAUGUUGUGUGCCUCCCUUUGUGAUGCCCCUUAUGUCUAUGUCGUGCCGCACGUGAGCCAGGAAGGGCUCAAGUGCCAGCACGAAUAGCAAGGGGGACAGAGGGCAUCCCUGCCUUGUGCCGUUGUGUAUCGUCAGCUCUUGUGUCACUGCGCCGUUGACGAUGACGUGUGCCGUGGGUCCGUCGUAUAGUGCCUCAACCCAGCUUCUGAAGUGUGGUCCCAGACCUAUGUGAUUCAGUGUAUGGAACAUAUAUUGCCAGUUAACCCUAUCGAAGGCCUUCUCCGCGUCCGUGGAUAGCAAGAGAAGGCCUCCAUCGUUAUCACCCCGGCUGUGUAUAAGGGUCAGUGCCCUGAUUGUAUUAUCUCUUGCCUCGCGGCCCAUGACGAAUCCCACCUGGUCCGGGUGUAUCAAGCGUGGUAUGUGGGUUUGGAGGCGUGUGGCAAGAAUUUUCGCCAGCAAUUUGACAUCGCCAUUGAUCAAUGAGAUCGGUCUGAAGUUACCGCAGUAUUCCCUGUCUUUGUCCCCCUUUGGGAUAAGUGUGAUGUGGGCAGUCAGUGACUGUUUAGGGAGUCGAUGGCCCUCUCGUAGUGCGUUUAGGGCGUCUAGUAGGGGGGCGUAGAGGUGGUCAGCAAACGUUGUAUAGUACUUCAAUGGUAGUCCGUCUGGGCCCGGGCUUUUGCCUGUCUUUGUCAUUUUGAUGGCCAAGGCCAAUUCGUCCAUUGAGAUGGGUUCGUCCAGUUGGGUAGUGGUGUCGUCGUCUAGCGUCGGGAGGGGGUGUGUCAUCAAGUAUUUAGAGAUUUUCGCCCGAAGGUUUUCCUUCGCCUUGUCCGUUUGGGGCUGUGGGAGGGCGUAUAGGUCAGAGUAAUAUCCCCGUAGUAUGUCUGCGAUUUUAGAGGGCAGGCGUUGCAGGGUGCCACUAGUGUCCCUCAUUUUGUCAAUAUAUGUCGUCUGUCUUUUUUUGGCGAGCAUUCUGGCCAGUAGCCUCCCGCUCUUGUUGCCAUGGAGUAGGAAGAAGGCUUUAUGCCUAACCACCUCUCUGUGGUGCUUUCUGUGGAGGAGGCUGGUCAGCUCACGCCGUAAUUGUAGCAAUGUCGACUGAUGUGCCUGGUGUUGUGCGGUUUUGUUGAGGGAGUCUAGGCUUUGUAUUUCUGUCAAUAGCUCCUUCAUUCGGCAGUCCGCCUGCCUUUUGAGGGUGGCGCUCUGUCUGAUGAAGUGUCCGCGGACUACGCUUUUAUGCGCCUCCCAUCUAAUGGUCGGCGAUGUGUGUUCCGUCGUGUUCGUCUCAAAGUAUUCCUUGAGUUUGUCCCCUAUGUCCGUUGUUAGGUCUGGUCUGGUGAGGAGGUAGUCGUUAAGCCUCCACUUAGUGGUUCUCGGUCUGUAGAGGGGGGAUGCGAGUGUCAGGGUCACGGGGGCGUGGUCUGACCAGGUCGCUGUUCCGUGGUCCGCAUUACGUGUUAGGGGUAGGUGGUAGUGCGUAGUAAAGACAUAGUCCAGUCUGGUGUAUGUGUUGUGUGGGUGUGAGAAGAAGGUGUAAUCUUUCUCAUCGGGGUGGUGUGCCCUCCAGCAAUCUACCAGUUUAUGGCGAGUCAGAAGUGCGUUGAUUUGGUUGAGGUGUUGUGUCGGUAUGUGGGAGGUGCCGGAGGAUGUGUCCCAGCGUGGAUGUAGUGCGACAUUCAGGUCGCCCCCCACCACAAGAAUCCCCUCUGCGAAAGAUUGCAGCUUUUUAAGUGUAGUCGCAAGGAACCUAUGCUGCCUAUGAUUCGGGGCAUAUAUAUUCGCGAUGGUAUAUGUCUGACCCGCUAUUGUGCCCCUUAUGGAUAGGUAUCUGCCUUCCCUGUCCGUCAUCUGACCACUCUCUUCAAAGGGAAUUCGUUUGUUGAUUAGGAUGGCUGUACCCCUGGAUUUCCCUGCGUGGUAAUCACUGUAAUACCCCGUCGGGAAGUGGUGGUUAGUCAGUUUCGGUCUGCAGCCUUCCCUAAAGUGUGUCUCUUGUAUCAGUACGAUGGAUGCUCUGUUGGCGUGGAAGUCUCUCAGCGCCCCAGAGCGUCUCUCUGGUUUGUUGAGGCCUCUGGCAUUGAUAGAGAGGAUGGUGAGGUCGUCUGGUGUGAGGGCCAUUUGCGUCUCGGCGGGGUGGUGGGUGUGCCUGUAGGUCCGUGCGUCUCAGUCUGGUCUUAGGUGUCUUGGGGGUGGUACGUCAGGUGGGUCCGUCUGAGUGGGGUUGGUGGGUAAGGGAAACGGUGGGAACGGGAAGUGCGUGUGUGUGGGGUCUCGUCCCCUGUGGGCGACAAGGAGGAAUUAGCGACGGGGAGUGGGAGGUCCGCGGUCUCCUACGGUCCGCGGAUUCCCCUCACCUUUUAAGAGUCGCUGUGUCCUACCGGGUCGUAGGAGGAGGUAAGAGGAGUCCAGGUGGGGCCAGCCCUCCCUGGGUCUGUGUGGUCGGCAAAUACCUGAGAGUAGUGUCUCGGUCUCUGCUCGUCGGGUCCCUGUGAGAUCCCUGGUCAGCUCUAGGUCGUGGAAAUCGUGUUGGUGAUAUGAUCCUCAUCAGUGUGGUUCCAGGUCAUGUGGCCAUGGGCUGGCCGUGAGUGUCCGCCAUGUGAGUGGGCAGGUGUGGGGCAUCGUAACUGUGCAUAAAAACAAUAGCAAUAACAUGUAAACUUAUACAGAUAUCAACAGCGUAUUCCGCGUUACUGGCACCCUUGUCAGAGGGCACGGGCGGCUGCACCCUGUUCCCCGGUCCCCACCCCGGUGAGCACAUCCCCACCUCUGGUCAGGACCCCAAUCCCCCCUGGGGCAACCCCCUCGUCUCUAAGUCUCCUCAGUUGCUCCUCGUCGCGUUGGUGUCUAGUUAAGUCAGUAGGCGGGGUACAUGGCAUGAGGGCUGAGUUGAUCAGUACUUGUGGGUCUCGGGGGUGGAGGUCAAGUUCGUUUUGCCCGGUCUCCUAGCAUGUCCCCUCUCCCUCCCCACGGGUUAUGUGCGUUCUUGGGCUGUGGGUAAGUGAGUGAGUGAGCCCCGCCGGUGGGGCCCCCCGCCUGCUCGCUCGGGUCAUCACAGGUCUAUCAGGGCCCCAGCGGCGUGGCCCAGUCGGAGUGGGUCCCCGCCCGUGUGGUCAGGGUAGGCCGCCCCCCGUCUGUUUCUCAGGGCAUUCCCGCCCGACUCUAGGAGCAUCUCUCCCCUGCGCCAUCCCCCACCUGAGCCCUGUCUGCCCACAUAUGCCCCCCCUCCCCAUGGGGACUCCCCGGACCCCCCUGUCAAUGGAGGAUGGCCUGGGCUUCACGCAGGAAAUCAGUGCAGUAAAUGGAUGCCCCGGUAUUCCCCUAGCCCCCUGCCCCCCCUCCCGCAUUUGUCAAUUACCACAUAGCGGCCAAUGUAGGCCUCUGAAGGAUAGCAAAGGGUUAGAGUCUCGGAUGAGGAGAGUGACCCAAGGGGUGCUACUUGCGGAUAUGCGCUGCGGUCGUCUCCAGGUCACUUAUGCCGCAGUCCCUGAAAGCCUGGUGGCUUGCUGGCGGGAUCCCCUGCUUCUGCGGGGCAGGGAUGAGGGUCCUCGUGUGUCGGAGUUCAUCAUGUAAAAAGCAGUAGGGUCCGGCCAUGUCAUAUGGAUGGGAGGGAGGUUCAGCUCCACAAUUAAGUCGUUUAGAUCUUCAGGGUGACGGACCGUGAAAGUGCCCUCCGCAGUGAUGGCCUGCAGCCCAGUCGGGAAAUUCCAUCGGUAUCGAAUCUUUCGUGUUUGGAGAGCUCUGGUAAGGGGCCUCAUCGCCCUCCGGUAGGCCAAGGUGGCCGGGGAGAGGUCGGGGUAAAGCUGCACCUCCACGCCGUUUAGUACGAUCCGCUCCAGUCCGCGUGCUUUGCGCAGUAUGUCUUCCUUAAGUUGGAAGUCUGCCAGGCAGCAGACCGCGUCUCUAGGGGGAGCCUCCGGCAGGCCUCUCGGUCAUAGCGCCCGGUGGGCCCUGAUAAAAUCAAUCUUGGUGGGUGCUGGGCGGCCCAAUAUUUUAUUAAACAGUUCCUUGAGAGUGUCCAGAAUCGGCGUGGAUUGGUCAGUGUCCUCUGGGAUGCCUCUCACCCGAAUAUUUUGGCGUCGGCCACGAUUGUCUAGGUCUUCCAGGUGUAGGGCCAUUUGCCGCAUCAGAGCAGUAUGGCUCUGCAUGGUGGUCGUUGUGGCAGACUGCGUGGAUGUCAGGUGGUCGCAGUCCGCUUCCAGCUGGGCCACCUUGGUGUGGAGGCCUUGAAUGUCUUCCCUGAGGGAGUGCAGUUCCGCUGUAAUGGAGGACCGCAAUUCAGUGUUGGCCUCCUUGAGGUCUUGUUUCGUCGGGAGUGCCUUUAUGAGUUGCACCCAUUCAGGUUGGGGGUCCAGGGGUGUCUGGGUUGGCGGUGUCUGGCGGUCGCCACGUGGUGAUGCUGGGCGGGAGGCGCCGGGCGCCUCUGAAUCGUUGGAGGCCUGAGAUGCCGUGUCGGCGUGGGACAGCAGGUAUUGCCGCAUGGAGGAGGGAGCGGUGCUUUUCGGCGUGUCGGCGGACUUGGCAGAGUGCGAUGCCCGGUGAGUUUUGCCCAUGGUCUCUCCGGUGGUAGUGCUGGGAUGAGGAUUUUAGCCGAGCUUGCUGGGGAGCUCCGGGUUUACGCCGCCAUCUUCCUCGGCCUCCAAGCCACGCCCCCUAAAUUGAAAUAUUAACACCCUCAUCUACUCUGAAGAAGCUGUGUAAUGCUAGAUUCUGAGUUAGCAGAACCUUUUCAGCAAAGGAUGGGGAUUUUUGUGGCUUUUCACCAUACCCAUAAUACAAAACUAUCUUUCUCUCUUCCUGGCAGCAGCCCAGCUUGAAGAGGAGUUACUCAGCAGCAUUUUCAAAUCCAUCAGCACCAACGUGUAAAUAUCCAGUAACAUUAACAAUUAGAUAUUUAGGAUUUGCAUUUACAAUUUCACCCUUUUUCUACGCUUUGAAGUUCUAGUGGAUCUCACUUCCCUUGGUUGAGGUAUAUAUUACAUUUCCUCAGUCAGAGUAGCAGUCCACACAUUCUUAUUGUGUAACUGAACCUUGAGUUCCAUAUGAAGGAACCUUCAGCAUACUGUAAUGUCACUUCCUGUUUAUGGAACAUGUUCUUACCAUGAACCUACUUCCUGUCAAAGGGAAAUGCAUACCCUUCAUAGGGAGUCCCCUUAUUUAUUCCUUUUUAGAAACCUUGCACUAACAGUAGUACGUAUUUUUAAAUUCAAACACAAUAUCACUUUCCCUGAAAUAUGUUUAUUGUUGCUGUAAACGUCCUGUAUGUGUAUGUACGCAUAUCUUUCUUCAAUUUCCAAAAUGUAUGCAUUAACCAAUAUAACUCUGCAUAUCCUAUUUUAACCUUCUAAGGACAAAGGAUCUUUUGAAAAUGCAAAUUAUUUGUGACACAACGUGGAAAUUUUGGCACUUUUGCCAUAUGUUCACUCUAACACAAUUUCACCCUUUCUGUUUAAGAGCACCCAUGUACAGGAUUGCCAGAUCCAACAUGUGUUCAGGGACACAUAUCACAUAUAUAUAUUAGGGGCAGCACAUGAAAAGGGUUUCCAUGUAGCAUGUAGAAUUCAGAAGAAGGUGUACAAGAACACUACAGGGUCAGAAACACAAACAUGUAUUUGUGACCCAAUAGUGUUAAAAACACUAUGUAGUCCCACCGAUCCUUCCACUGAUAAAAUAUUACCUUUAUUCUAGUCUGCUGGUACUGGCUCUGUCCAUGAUCUGCCUCCUUGGCUGACAUCAUCAGAAGUGAUGUUCUAAGCUGAUCACAAUGCUUUCAUAUAGGCUGAGAUUGUAAAUUCUGAUUAUCUCAGCCAAGUAGGCUGGCCAGGUGUCGCAGCCAAAUGCCGCCCUGGCUAAUCAGCAUCUCCUCAUUGAGAUGCAUUGAAACACUGCAUCUCUAUGAGGAAAGUUCAGUGUCUCCAUGCAGAGGAUGGAGAAAUUGAAUGGCAGUCAUACUGUGCAGCACUGCCCCAGGAAGCACCUCUAGUAACUAUUUGAGGAGGGGCAACUGGAGGUGUCCCUAGGCUGUAAUGUAAACACUGCCUUUUCUCUGAAAAGACAGUAUUUACUGCAAAAAGCCUGCAGGGCUUCAUGGGGCAUCUCCUUUAACAAUCUGGUUCAUUCAUAAUCUCUAAAACUUUACUUGAAAGCCACCAUAUCAGCACCACUGUAACAGAAGUAUUCCCAUCUCUGUGUCAAUGAAAUAGGAAAGGAUUUAUGAAAAUGUGACCUUGGCCACUGUUUUGGACUAACAUGUCCUGAUAUUUGCAUAAUACUUUGUGACUACUAGACAGUGUCCUUCUGUGUGUUAUGUCUAUUGCAGGUUUUGCAGUGCUCUGGUUACGAUUACAUUCACAAAAGAUCUCAGGUUUAUGAAAUGAAAAUUCUUUAUUAUAACGUAUUCUCUAGUAUAGCUGAGAAUGGUUGAAUAAUUACUUGCAAAUUUUAUUCUGUUAUCAUUUGUGAUUAAAUCAUAAUAUAAGGUUCAUUUUUAAAUUUUUUAUGUCUGUCCAUUCAUUUGUAUGUAGGUCCAUCUAUCUAGUAAACAAAGCAACACAUGGUAAACAAUUAAUAUUUUUUUCUUUUCUAAAAUAAUCUUGGCCGUAAUGUGUUUUCCCAAGAUUAAUUCCCGAACAGAGACUCUGUUGAAUUCAAAGUUGAUUCAAAUGAUAAGAUUUAGGGCAAUCUGUAAUUUACUGUGUGAAUGUUUGAUACAAGCUGAUAUUGCCUAUUUAUACUUUAUUACUUACCUGCAUAAAUAAAUAAUUAAAUAAAAAGAUUUAGGGCAAUCUGAAAACGUAACUACAAGAUCAACGUGUAUUGCCAAAUCCACAAUUUAACCACAAAUAAGCAUGUAAUCCCGAUUUCACAGAUUAACCACCAGACAAAAGUGUAAAGCUUAAUAUACCACAUGUUAAGCACCAGAUGUGCACGCUGUAAUUUAAUUAGAUGCACAACCAAUAAAAUAACAUGAUACUGCAUAAUACAGGCAUAUAUGUAAGCAUACAGUCAAAUGCUCACAAAACAUAUAUUAAAGGUACAACACUACAAUUUAACAAAAAAUAAGUAACACUAAAUUAAACACCAAAGUAGUGCAAACCUAAAUCUAUAAAUCAUCUAAAAGCAAACAUAUUGCCUACUCACAAUCUCAUAUUUGUAUGAAUAUUUAACCCCUUAAGGACGGAGCCAAAUGUACACGUUGUUAACAAAACAAAAUGUAAACAAAACCUGGCAUUUGCGCUUUAUGUAUAUAGAUAUAUAUAUUAUUUCGUUCUACGUGUAUUUUGAUAUAUAUAUAUAUAUAUUAAUUUCACAAUACAGUUAGAACGAAAUAACACACAUCUAUAUAUUUUUUAAUUAUUUAUUUUUAAUUAUUUUUUUAAUUUUAUUUUUUAACGUAUUUACAUUUUAAUUUUUUUAAUAAUAUAUAUAAAUAUAUAUAUAACAAUAAUUAUAUAUAUAUUUAAUCAGUAUCAGUCUACGUGUAAUUUGAUAUUAAUAUAUAUAUAUAAUUAUAUAUAUAUUAAUAGUAAAAUACACCUAGACGGUGUACAUGUGUGUAUGUAUAUGUGUAUAUAUAUACUUAGAUCAUAUAUAUAUAAUAUAUAUAUAUGAUCUAAGUAUAUAUAAUUUUUUUUUUACACUGAUUAACUUAUUUUAAUUUUAUUUUCAGCCAGCAGGGGGACCACCUGUAAUUACAGGCAGCCCCCCUGCUGGCAAUACAGAAGCCAGCUAUCCCCGGCCAUGUGAUUGUGGGGUCCUCGCUAGGACCCCACUCUCACACGGCCGGGGGGCUUCCUGGAAGACGGCCGUGCCGCGGGGGGCUCCCUGGGAGUCCCCCCCACCACGAUCGCCGGCGUGGGACCGCGACCGGGUAAGUACCGAAAGACCGGAGGGCGUACUAUUACGCCCGGCGGCGUUUAGAGCCGCCUAUUAGAGGGCGUAAUAGUACGCCCUCCGGUCUAAAGGGGUUAAAGGACCACUAUAGUGCCAGGAAAACAUACUCGUUUUUCUGGCAUUUUAGUGCCCUGAGGGUGCCCCCACCCUCAGGGACCCCCUCCCGCCGGGCUCUGGGGAGAGGAAGGGGUUAAAAUCUUACUUUUCUCCAGCGCCGGGCGGGGAGCUCUCCUCCUCCUCUCCUCCUCCUCUCCGCCUCUUCUCCUCCUCUUCGGCUGAAUGCGUAUGCGCGGCAGGAGCUGCACGCGCAUUCAGCCAGUGAGCUGCGCGCGCAUUCAUCCAGUUUCCUAUGGAUGCUUGCGUCUUCUCACUGUGAUUUUCACAGUGAGAAGCACGCAAGCGCCUCUAGCGGCUGUCAAGAGACAGCCACUGGAGUCUGGAUUAACCUAUUUAUAAACAUAGCAGUUUCUCUGAAACUGCUAUGUUUAUAAAAAAAUGGGUUAACCAUAGCUGGACCUGGCACCCAGACCACUUCAUUAAGCUGAAGUGGUCUGCGUGCCUAAAGUGGUCCUUUAAAUAACGGAGGUCUUUUAGUGCAACAGCAAUGUGUGCUGGUAACUUUUUAAAACAUUUUUUUAAUUUUUAGAUUCAGUCUAAUGGAUACUGCAAUCAUUGCUGCUGCCUCGUACUUGUGGGUGUCUAAGUGUAGACUUAUUUCUGUGUGUCUAUAAAUUAUCCUGCAAGUAAGCACAUGGCUGCCGCCAAUGGCAGGCUGUUGACCCAGCAAUGUUUGCUAUACUUUAGUUAUAUGUAAGAGAUAACUGAUCUUCCCAUUCAGAUAAUGAUAACCACAAAAAAAAACUAACUAAGCUGCGUCAAUAGACUGCGCGUAAUCUGAAAUAUACUUUACACCAACCAUUUUCCAUAACUUCAAACACUUGUAGUGACCAAAGAAUUCAUACACCACAAAAUGCCCUGAAUCAUGGCAUAACAUGGAGCACAAACAAUAGCAAAAAACACAUGGGCCCAUAGACUUCCAAGAGGAAUGAAGGAUUCUGGGAAACAAAGGCUGGAAAAAGACACAAAGGCUUUAGAUUAGGCUCAUGUUUUGGCAGGGCCCUAUUCACCUACUGAUUCCGUAUGUCAUACGUGUUUUGUUAGCGUUAAAUGCUUGUCUUGUUUACCUAUUGUACAGCAUUGCGGAAUAUGUUGGCGCUAUAUCAAUAAUUGUAAUUGUGGGUUGUGAAGCAUCUUGACCUUUCAGACAAGGGAUACUUGGGAUUUAUGCCUGUCAAUUCAAUAUUCAAAUAUUUCAGCAAUCAUUCCAUAUUUCUCUUCUGAUGAAAAAGCAUUGCACUCACUCAUAUUCUGCGUAAAUUAAUAACAAUGAAAAUUGGAAACAGAAGUGUGAAAAUUAUAUUUAGUAAAUACAUUGUCAUUUAUCUGAUAGACAUGGAGUCAUUAGAAAAGCAAUAUGCUAAUUGAAUUCUUCAUGUAAAAUAGACACCCUUUACAAAGGUUAAGAGAUUAUAUCAGUUUGAGGGGAAACAAAUCCAGUACAUACAAAAACAGACUAUUUUAAACAAUCGAUACCUCUGACAGAUAGCAGUGCACCAAAUUUAGAUAUUAGAUAAGACCGCUGUCAAAAAUGAUGGAGGGGGUACUCUAUUUCAAUGCAAAUUACAUGUCCUUGAAAUGAUUCGAGAGUUAGUUACUUAACAAUAAGGAUGUCUGCCCACUUAUUUUUACUAUUAAAGGAGCUACAUUGGACAGUGAUAAGGAAGUAAAGGCGAUUUUUUAUUUUCACAUAAAAAUGGAGAAUUAAUGACCGCCAAAUUUGUUUAGCCUUUCCUGUCUUUCCUGUUUUUUAUACACACACAUAUUCAUACAUACACACAAGCACACAAACAUGGGCACACACACAUGCACGAAAAAAAAUUGUUUUUGGAUGUCUAUUUAAAUGGUGAUCAAGAUUUAAGUCCCAAUGCCAGUCAAAGUCCCAAUGCCAAUCAAAAUUUAGUACAGCAAUGAUUUGAGUGUUAUAUAAAGAUCUGAAAAGCAGUGCAAGUAUAUAAAAGCAUUGCAUUUGUCAGCUAUAUUAUCUCUACACAAUGUGCCUGCUGGUUUCAUUUUAUUCUUGUGGGAGUGUCAACCUUUCAGCACUAGUUACUUCAUACAAAUUUCCCAUCUAUGUGUUCAUCAGUACAGAAUGAUGAUAUAGUGGAUUUUACAGGAACCCCCUCACUAUAUCUUCACAUACACUUAAAUAAAUGCUUCAGAAGCAGUUUUGUCAUGAUAGUGACUCUUGGUGUAGUCUGUAUUAUCCAGGCCUAGAGGUCUUUAUUGUAGGAUCUUAAGAACUUGUAAAUAUAGAUUCUCACCUUCUUUGGUGACUGUGCUGGUAAGAUUGGUGGUACCAUGCAUCAAAGAGCUCAAGUGAAGUCAGAAAACUGCUUAUUGAAAUCAGAUAACGGAAAGGGUAAUGUUGAGAAAUAAGAGAGUGCAUGAGAAUGAAUGACUGAUAUUACAGCUAAUGACUGUAUCAGCUCCCAACCAUCUCUGCUUUAAAUUAAUCAGCUGAAACUCAUGUGUCUGUACCCAUGCUUUUUGGGACUUGAAUCCCAAUCCACUCUUGUGAGGUGAUUACACUCUACAACCCAUAACUGGAUUAUUCUCUCUCUCUCUGUGGCAACAGGAAAGAUGACUCACACAAUUGAUGGGAUUAUCAGAUUAAUUUCCUCCAUUCCAGAUUAGAUUCAUUUGAGACUCUAUUGGGUAGAUCUAGAACAUAUAAUUUAUCCAGCGAUAUUUUAUAGUAUUUUGAGGAUUACUAUGUUUGUGUAAUGGUAUGACUAGAACCCAAGAACCUUUUGGUUUUGUUCCUGCCCUUUCCCCAUAUAUCAUGGAGGGUUUUAAUUUGAACAAGCUGAUGAAAGACUUGUUCGUCAACAUGGUGUAGGGUAUUUCUUCUUCCUCACAUCUACAGGGAUCCUUUAUAGUUUUACUGGUUUAUUAAGUCGUGGUUUGGAUAUUAUUAACACAGAGCAUUUGGUGUGACUUUCUAUUAUUUAUUCAUGUUCCAUUCAUGUCUAGACAUGUCUUACAGUGUUAUCUCUAGAGAUACUCCAGUCAGUCCUUAUUUCUCCUUAUUACACCUCCUUAUUUUGUUAAAUGCCUCAUUAUGCUAUCAUUAGUUCUAUUUACCAUUUUUACCUGAAUGUUUUUUGGUUUUUUUUGCUAGCUACCUCAUAUCUGUACAUAGCCUGAUCCUGAACAAAACCUAGCCACCUUUCUUAUAGUUCUUGUGUUCCAGUAUCUUAGUUUCAUUUAUGUGUUUAUUUUAUAUCACUUAACCAGAUAGGACCAUGGCUUCAUCUCAAGUAUCACAUCUCUUAGAAUCUAUUCCAAACUCAGGAGGCAGAGACAUGCUCGUUGGAAGGUAUUGGCUUUAACUCAGGUUGCAGAAGAUCACAUCCUGCUACUCCAUUCCCUGAAGAUAGAUUCCUUCCACACCUUGAACCAUCCUUUUAAUGGACAUAAAAUGGAGCACCAGAGGCAAGUAGUCUGUAGCCCAGUCCAACUUGGCAACAGGAUGUCUGUCCAGGGACAUACAGGAGACACAAGACAGGAACCUUAAAUGAACAAUAUCAGGAAAGAGACUCCAGACUGAAUGCCCAGACAAUGUAAUAUGGCUUUUUAAUUGAAAAGUAUUUGUUUGGGCUAAUUGUUCAGAGAUAAUAGCUGGGUAUAUUGCAGAAUCUAAGAUAAUGGCACCUCUACAUAGAACAUAUCGUCAAGUCUGUGGGACAUGAAAUGGAGAAGAGAAAACAUAGCAUUAUCACGUUUGUCCUUGUGGAAGACAAGAAGAACAAAAGAUCACAUGUAGGGCUCUGUUUCUGGCUGUUAACUGGCAUUUCUAACCUUUAUCUUACACAGCUCCUGACUCCCUGAAUUCAACUAAAGCAUGUCAUCAAAGGGAGACUGCAUUCCAGGCUGGUGAGGGCCACUAGAGGUUGUGAAACAUACACAAUUUUAUUACUUGUAUAUAAAUACAUUCUGUCUGUCAGAGUUAUUUAAAUAAAUUAUUCAGUGCCAUUUCAGAUCAGAACGUCUACAGCAUUUUGUUAUAAGGUCUAUUUUACAAUGAUUAUCUCAAAAGCAUUGUUGAUAUACCUAUAGAAAUAAUCUACCGCAACUUGAGGCUGUGCUCCAAGACCAGUUUACAGAGGUAGAAAAGUGGAUUGCAAAAAACAAACUCUUCCUGAACACUGACAAAACUGUCACAAUGAUCUUUUGGAACAGUACCUAAAUUACACAAAUUACACAAUUCCCACCUAUCCAUCAAAACAAAUUCAAAUGGCACACUGACCGCAGUUCACUCUUUCAAAUACUUGGGUAUGAUAUUAGACCCCAAUCUAUCUUUUGGCCUGCACAUAGAAAAGCUUGCAUCUUAACUUUAUCCAAAACUAGGUGCCCUGUACAGAAACAAAUCCUGCCUAAGCCCUACAGUAAAGGAAAAGAUUGUACAGCAAAUGCUGAUGCCAGUAAUUGAUUAUGGGGAUGUAGUAUAUGCAUCUGCAUCACAAUCCCACGUUAAUAAACUCAACACAUUGUAUAACUCGUUCUGCUGAUUUGUGCUACAAUGUAAUUACAGGACUCACCAUUGUGACAUGCUAAAAGAACUAAACUGGCUGUCGCUGGAAUCCAGACGCACCCUUCAUCUUUCCAGCCUUGUGUUUAAGAGCUUUUCUGGGAAACUCCCACCCUACCUGAACAAAAUGCUUUCCCCAGCUGUUCCCACCUCCUAUAACCUCCGAUCCAGUACCAUCACUUUACUUAGUCUACCUCAAUACAAAAAGAAAGCAGCCCGAUCCUCCUUCUCCUACAUAGCACCGCAAUUGUGGAAUGACCUCCCGCACAAUUUUAAAUCUCCCCUAAGCCUAAAGUCCUUUAAGAGAUCCCUCUCUACAUACCUCAAAACAGAAUUCACCUGUCAUGGUUGAUUAUAUAUUUCCUACCUGUUCUAUGUUAAAUUUUGUAUUUAUUGUGUAUUGAUAUUGUUUUUGUAUUUUAUAUACCCUAAUGUAACAACGCAAUGAUUUGUGGACCCAGG
rnacentral:lncRNA from 1 species